AUUGAACGCUGGCGGCAUGCUUUACACAUGCAAGUCGGACGGCAGCACAGAGAAGCUUGCUUCUUGGGUGGCGAGUGGCGAACGGGUGAGUAACAUAUCGGAACGUACCGAGCAGUGGGGGAUAACUAAUCGAAAGAUUAGCUAAUACCGCAUAUUUUCUGAGGAAGAAAGCAGGGGACCAUUUGGCCUUGCGCUGUUUGAGCGGCCGAUAUCUGAUUAGCUAGUUGGUGGGGUAAAGGCCUACCAAGGCGACGAUCAGUAGCGGGUCUGAGAGGAUGAUCCGCCACACUGGGACUGAGACACGGCCCAGACUCCUACGGGAGGCAGCAGUGGGGAAUUUUGGACAAUGGGCGCAAGCCUGAUCCAGCCAUGCCGCGUGUCUGAAGAAGGCCUUCGGGUUGUAAAGGACUUUUGUCAGGGAAGAAAAGGGCGGGGUUAAUACCCCUGUCUGAUGACG
rnacentral:rRNA from 1 species